GCCGGUUUAGCUCAGUUGGUAGAGCAGCGGUUUUGUAAACCGAAGGUCGGGGGUUCGAGUCCCUCAACCGGCA
rnacentral:tRNA from 1 species